rnacentral:rRNA from 1 species
UACGGAGGGGGCUAGCGUUGUUCGGAUUUACUGGGCGUAAAGGGCGCGUAGGCGGCUUAACAAGUCACUUGUGAAAUCUCCGGGCUUAACUCGGAACGGCCAAGUGAAACUGUCAAGCUAGAGUGCAGAAGGGGCAAUCGGAAUUCUUGGUGUAGCGGUGAAAUGCGUAGAUAUCGAGAGGAACACCUGCGGCGAAGGCGGGUAGCUGGGCCGACACUGACGCUGAUGCGCGAAAGCCAGGGGAGCAAACGGG